CAGUCGCCACGGGAAUACGGAGGGUGCAAGCGUUAAUCGGAAUUACUGGGCGUAAAGCGCACGCAGGCGGUCUGACAAGUCAGAUGUGAAAUCCCCGGGCUUAACCUGGGAACUGCAUUUGAAACUGUCAGGCUGGAGUCUUGUAGAGGGGGGUAGAAUUCCAGGUGUAGCGGUGAAAUGCGUAGAGAUCUGGAGGAAUACCGGUGGCGAAGGCGGCCCCCUGGACAAAGACUGACGCUCAGGUGCGAAAGCGUGGGGAGCAAACAGGAUUAGAUACCCGAUAGUCCCUGUCUCUUAUACC
rnacentral:rRNA from 1 species